CCCUUAGAUGUUCUGGGCCGCACGCGCGCUACACUGAUGCAUUCAACGAGCCUAUCCUUGACCGACAGGUCCGGGUAAUCUUUGAAUCUGCAUCGUGACGGGGAUAGAUUAUUGCAAUUAUUAAUCUUCAACGAGGAAUGCCUAGUAGGCGCAAGUCAUCAGCUUGCGUCGAUUACGUCCCUGCCCUUUGUACACACCGCCCGUCGCUGCCCGGAACUGAGCCGUUUCGAGAAGACUGAGGAUUGCUGACUUGAGGCCUUCACGGGCUUCUAGUCGGUGAAAAUCAAUUUAAUCGCAGCGGCUUGAACCGGGCAAAAGUCGUAACA
rnacentral:rRNA from 1 species